rnacentral:rRNA from 1 species
UACAGAGGGUGCGAGCGUUGUUCGGAAUUAUUGGGCGUAAAGCGCUGGUAGGUGGCUUGUUAAGUCGCGUGUGAAAGCUUCCGGCUCAACCGGAAAAGUGCGCGCGAAACUGGCGAGCUUGAGUGCCGGAGAGGGUCGCGGAAUUCCCAGUGUAGAGGUGAAAUUCGUAGAUACCAGAAGGAACACCGGUGGCGAAGGCGGCUAUCUGGCUCAUUCUUGACGCUCUGGCGCGAAAGCGUGGGGAUCAAACAGG